AUGCUGUGCUUCCCCCGCUGCAGCCCUUUCCCCUUCCAGAUGCUCUGGGAGAGAGGCUGCCAUCCUUGUUUUGAUUUUGCAGCCCUACACCCCGAUGUUAUUUGGCCACAGCUGCGAUGCGAGCUCAGCUCCUCCAGGACACAGCUCAGUGCUCUGCCUCCUCCCGGAGCUGAUCUGCCUUCAGCAGGAGAAAUAUCCCCAAUUCCAAGGGCUCUGCUGCUCAGCAUCGCUCAGGCUGAGAUGGCAAUGACUUUGCCAACAGACACACGGAAAGGAGCUGUGUGGUGCCCAGCUGUGCUGUCACAGACUUCUCUAACAACCCCAAAUUUCAUGCCAGCACAGGGGGAGGCUGGGGCUCUGCAACACGCAUGGUGACAAUAGUGACAAUAGUGACAACAGUGACAUGCUUGGGCUCCCUGGGGAACCACCCAGAUGGAUUCGUGCUUGGAAAACUGACGCUGCAGCCUUCCUGAUGGAUUCCUCGGGCCACAGAGUUUGCAGUGAAUGCAAGAUCGUUGGUUUACUCUCAUUAUUUAUUAUGAUCAUUAUCCUUCCCCUUCCCAACUAGCUGAGGCUGCAGCCAAGCUAUAGGAUGCUUGCUGUAGGCUGGAAGCUCACAACAGCAAGAGCACUGGGAGAAGCACCCCAGAACAACAAAUAAAGGCUGGGGGGACUGCA
rnacentral:lncRNA from 1 species